rnacentral:lncRNA from 1 species
AAUAAUCAAACAAACAAUUGAUAAUAAUGAUAAAAGAAUAUCAAAUGCCAUAUAUUUAAUGUCAAAUGACAUUCACAAAAUAUGUUAAGUUAUCAAAUAUGAUAUUGGGUCUAGGGCAUAUCUACUAUAUCCGUAACAUCUGGAACUAUAUAAACUGAUUGUUGCACCUAAACUAUAGAAGAUCAGCAGUACAGAAUCAAGAAAUCAAAAGCGCAGAUCCAGCCAUUUCUGAGCAUGGCGGGGACAGCAGGAUAGCAGACACUCAUCUAAAGCAAGCGAUCCCUCUUACGCCCACACAAAAAUUGAAGCAAAUAAAAUUUAGCAAAGAUUUAGGAAUCAGAAUUGUAACAACUUAGACAGAGAUAGCUACGAGUUAAGCAUCAAUUUCCCAACUUAUACAGCAAAAAACAAUAAAGACAAAGCGUUUCAUCAAAAGCAGAACACAUUUAAUAGAUCCGGAUUUUCUCCAAGAGGAAUGAAAACCGCGUGGAAAUAUGGAUGAAAUCAUUUUGUUUCCAGAGUUUGUUAGGGUUUGGUAACGUGGAAGAAGGGAAGGAGAGGAGGGGGGACUAUGAGGAGACCAUGUGAGUGAACUCGCCGGGUUUGGACGAGUACCGGCGAGUUUGAGCACGGGCAGAGUGAAGAGAGCAAAGGGGGGUGGCGGCUGGUCUUGGGGUAUAGAGAUUAGGUU